AGUCGAGCGAGCGGAACUAAAGAUUUACUUCGGUAAUGACGUUAGGAAAGCGAGCGGCGGAUGGGUGAGUAACACGUGGGGAAUCUGCCCCAUAGUCUGGGAUACCACUUGGAAACAGGUGCUAAUACCGGAUAAGAAAGCAGAUCGCAUGAUCAGCUUUUAAAAGGCGGCGUAAGCUGUCGCUAUGGGAUGGCCCCGCGGUGCAUUAGCUAGUUGGUAAGGUAAAGGCUUACCAAGGCGAUGAUGCAUAGCCGAGUUGAGAGACUGAUCGGCCACAUUGGGACUGAGACACGGCCCAAACUCCUACGGGAGGCAGCAGUAGGGAAUCUUCCACAAUGGACGCAAGUCUGAUGGAGCAACGCCGCGUGAGUGAAGAAGGUUUUCGGAUCGUAAAGCUCUGUUGUUGGUGAAGAAGGAUAGAGGUAGUAACUGGCCUUUAUUUGACGGUAAUCAACCAGAAAGUCACGGCUAACUACGUGCCAGCAGCCGCGGUAAUACGUAGGUGGCAAGCGUUGUCCGGAUUUAUUGGGCGUAAAGCGAGCGCAGGCGGAAGAAUAAGUCUGAUGUGAAAGCCCUCGGCUUAACCGAGGAACUGCAUCGGAAACUGUUUUUCUUGAGUGCAGAAGAGGAGAGUGGAACUCCAUGUGUAGCGGUGGAAUGCGUAGAUAUAUGGAAGAACACCAGUGGCGAAGGCGGCUCUCUGGUCUGCAACUGACGCUGAGGCUCGAAAGCAUGGGUAGCGAACAGGAUUAGAUACCCUGGUAGUCCAUGCCGUANACGAUGAGUGCUAAGUGUUGGGAGGUUUCCGCCUCUCAGUGCUGCAGCUAACGCA
rnacentral:rRNA from 1 species